rnacentral:lncRNA from 1 species
CACAUUCUAGCAACAGCCUCCUCCUUUGACCAAGAAUUAUGUUCUGCUUCUUACCUAGAGGCCAAGGCUCUAGGAGGUCCCACAGCCAGAGCUCCCUCUCUGGCUGAAUGGCCCCUUCUUCAGGCCCCAGCCCCAGGAUUCCCCACAGGCAGAACCUGUUACAAAGAAUGGAAUACUGGUUGAACUCCCACCCCUAUCACUGUUGCCCACGUGCCAAGAGACAAUCAAGGCCUAAACCUAACAGCCCAGGCCAACUGAACACAAGAGAAUCCACCACUGUUCUCACUGAGGAGAACUGGAGAAGGAGCUUCAGCUCCAAAUCAGUGGUGGAAGAGCCAGAGCCAAGCACCCAUGGGAAUGAGCUCAGCCUCAAGGGCAAACUCAUUGGAGAGCCUGGUGGAGACCCUAGAGCCAGCCUUCCUAGAUGACUACCCCUCUUCCAUGUCCACCAUCUCAAGUUCCUCCACCCAACAGAAGCUGGACAUAAUAUUGGCAAGGUGAGCCCUGCCCAGGGUGACAGGGUCACAUAAAUG